UCUUUGGCUCAUAUAUUUAAAUGACACUAUUGCUUAGAAUGUGCGGCACUGUAUUUCUAAUUAUUAUUUUUAUGCUUGAAGCCGAUGAUGUUGGAACAAGUUUUGUCAGAUCAGGAUAGUGAGGAUGAGGUUGAUGAUGAUGUUGCUGAUCUUGAAGAUCGAAGGAUGCUUGAUGAUUUCGUUGAUGUGACAAAAGAUGAGAAGAAAAUAAUGCAUAUGUGGAACUCCUUCGUGAGGAAGCAACAGGUAUUGGCUGAUGAUCAUAUUCUUUGGGGGUGCGAGG